rnacentral:snRNA from 1 species
GUGCUCUCUUCAGUAGCACAUAUACUAAAACUGGAAUGAUACAGAGAAGAUUAGCAUGGCCCCUGCACAAGGAUGACAUGCAAAUUCGUGAAGCGUUCCAUAUUUUU